rnacentral:rRNA from 1 species
CAGGAAGCGAUAGCGCCCACUGGGAGUACGUGCAGCUGACUCAAGAUGACGGGCCGCCCAGCGUGAGCAUGUGUUAUCGAUGAUACGCGAGACUACCGGCUGACUGCAGGGACGACGGAGACCGAGCCCGCAAGGCUCUGCAGAGUGCUGCAUGGUGUCGUCAGCUCGUGCGUGAGUGUCGGGUCAAGUCCCAUAACGAGCGCAACCCUGCGUCCAGUGCCAGCGGUACGGCCGGGCACUCUGGACGGACUGCCUACGCAAGUAGAGAGGAAGGCGGGGAUGACGUCAAAUCAGCACGGCCCUUACGUCCGGGGCGACACACGUGCUACAAUGGCCGGCACAGAGGGAAGCCACCCCGCGAGGGGGAGCGGAUCCCGAAAGUCGGUCACAGUCCGGAUCGGGGGCUGCAACCCGCCCCCGUGAAGCUGGAAUCGCUAGUAAUCGCGCAUCAGCCAUGGCGCGGUGAAUACGUUCCCGGGCCUUGUACACACCGCCCGUCAAGCCAUGGGAGCCGCGGGCGCCUGAAGCCGGGGGUCCACCCCCGUCUAGGGCGAACGUGGUGACUGGGGCUAAGUCGUAACAAGGUAACCUA